CACCGUUUGUUUGCACAUUGAAAAUUGAUACUUUUAAAGCAAAAAACAUUUUAUGGGAAGGAGAAAAAAGCUUUUUAUGAGAAGCAAGAAUCCAAAUUGACCCCACCAUCACCAUCACCACAGUCUCUACAUCCACAGCCACCACCGUCGCUGCUGACACCACCACUCUACCACUACUGCCACCACAAUGAGUGGAUUAAUGUAAUAAAAAGUGAAAAAAAUACAUAUUUUCCAAGCAUU
rnacentral:misc_RNA from 1 species